rnacentral:sRNA from 1 species
GCCGUUGAGCGCCAUGGCUUCAGCGGUCAGGUUUUCCGUCGUUUCUAGAUUUCGAUUCGUCUGUUAGGGCUCGGUUUAUUCCUGCGAUAUUGAUGAUUUAUUUCGAUGGAUUACGUUUGUUAUCGGUGUGUGAUUUUAGGGUUUGGAUUCUUGGCGAUGGGGAUUUUUCUUGCCAGGUUAAAAUUUUUGAUCUAACGAUGCUUGAAGUGCUGUCGGUGUGUUUCUAGGGUUUGGUGGCUGGAUUCGUGGCAAUCGCCUCAUUCUAACAGGUUUAAUAAAGUUUGGAUCUGUCGGUGUGUUUCUAGGGUUUGUUGGCUGGAUUCGUGGCAAUCGCCUCUUUCUAACAGGUUUAAUAACGUUUGGAUCUGAUUAUUUUUCAAAGGUUGCGAAUUCCCAAUCGAAUUUUGUGGAUAUUGAUGGAUUUUGAUAUCUCAUCUUAAAUCUGUUGAUCUGCUUUUGGGUUUUUUGAUUUGGUGUGGUGGUUCCAGGGCGUUUUGGAUUCAAUAACUGGUUCAGCUAGGAGUUCGAUUUGAAGAUUCUCUAUUUACCCUGGGUUUUUGCGUAUCUUCUGUUACCUCAUUGAAGUUUAUGAAAUGAUGAUUUAGUUUAGAAAUUUUGAUCCCCAUCCCAUAUAUGUCCGAAUAAAUGGAGCUUUGUUGUUAACUUUCAGGCAUGGAUUGCGGGUUUCAGUCGCAUAGAUGUCUUAAGACUCGAGCGGUUAGGUAUUGUAUUUGGCUAAUGUUUUGAUGGCGUUCUUGUGUGAUUGCUCUGUGGUUGGGUUUGUACUCCUGUUUUCGCGAUAAAAAUCUUUUGAUGCCUCCCUUUCUUCUUAAAUGUUUAUUUUCCUCCUCUCUCAUUCAAAAAUCGUUCUAAAUUUUAUUACCUUCUAUUGGCAGAUACUAAAUUGGGAAUUUGUACGGUAUUAUCAAGCUGGCAUUAUUUUACACGUAAAUUGGGAAUAUUCGCUCGUUUUCAGAUCUUUUUAUUUCUUUCCUCAGAUUUAUUUUCCUAUCUCAGAAAAUGUUUGGCCUACGUUUAUUUUUGUUUAGCAGCUACUUUUUAAUUUUUAUUCCUAAAUAAAUAUUGGCUAUUAUGUAUUUUAAGGCUUCUUGCCCACAGCUUUUGUUUUAUAGUUCUAAGAGUCUUGAAGGUUUCGUUUUUUGUUUAGCAGCGUCUUAUGCAAAUGCGUUCUAAUUCUUCUUAGCCAGUCACAGCUAAGAUUUUUUGUAGAUGAAAAAUGUUUCAGGGAGCUGGAGGUGUCUCGGUUUGUUUAUGCACCCUGCUUGGCUUCUUGUUUCUGUUAAAUGUCCAUUACAUUCGAUUGCUGUGUUGUCCUGCCCUUGAUGUUUAGUGCAGAUUCAUCAACAGGGUUCUAACUUCACUCUAUGAGUGGGCACUUAAAGAAGGGGUUUCUCUUGGCUUUUGAUUCUUUUUUUUUUUGUAUUUUAGAGCGUAUAGGUUUUGUGCCACAAUCUGAGCAGUUCUUUUGUCUGCAGACACAUUUUAUUCUUGUUGAGGGAGAGCUGGGUGUUUCAAAGAUGGGGUUUGAGUGGUUCUGAGUGUGAUUUAACUUUUAUGAAUUUGAGCCAUUGUUAUAUCAAUGAUCUUAUUAAAAAAAUUUCUGGUUACAGUUUCGCUGGGUCGAGGAAAAUGGCUGCCUGAUUUAAAGGGGGUUUGUUUCUUUGCUUAUGUUUUAACUGUAUUCUUAGGGCUUAUGAGAUCUAGCACCAUUAUUUGUGGAAUAUUCUUUGCAGAUGAUGUAUCUUGUUUGUUUAUGAAGUCUAAUCUUGUUGGAGCAGAACAUGCUGGUUUGGAGGGGGUCUAAGUGCUUUCUUGCUUUUUAAUUGAAUACUCAUUCAUUUGAUUUGUUUGGUCCUACGUUUGUGUCUACCCAUUCUUGUUUGUAUGCAGAUGUGGGUCGAAGUGCACCUUGUUAGGAUUCUACAGUUUGGGAGCUUUGUGUGGCUUGGUUUGUUUAUUCACCCUGAUUGGCUUCUUGUUUCUGUUAAAUGACCAUUACAUUCGAUUUCUGUGCUGUCCUUCCUUUGGUGUCUUAUGCAGAUGCAUAGCUGAGUCCUAACUCUAUCCAUCCCUAGUAAAGAGUGUCGGAGUUUCACUUCUUUAAAACAUGAGCGGGCAGAAUUUUAAUAGGGGGUUCCUCUUGGCUUAUGAUUCUAUUUUUGUAUUUUAGAGCGAAUGGAUCUUGCCAUAAUCUGAGCAAUGUUUCCUUAUGCAGACACAUUCUAAUCUUUUUGGAAGGAGAACAUGCUGCUUCAAAGCGGGGGUUUGAGUGGUUUUCGAUUGAUUUAAUUUUAUGUGAUUUUGAAACAUUAUUUGAACAAUGAUCUUUUCAAAUAUUUUCUGGCUAUGCAGUUUCCCUCAGUUGAAGGAAAAUGGCUGCCUGAUUUAAAAGGGGGGUUUCUUGGCAUAUGUUUCAAUCUCUUGGCUUAUGAUUCUAUUUUUGUAUUUUAGAGCUUUCCCUCGGUUGAAGGAAAAUGGCUGCCUGAUAUAAAAGGGGGUUUCUUGGCAUAUGUUUCAAUCUCUGUUUUCUUAAUGGCUUAUGAGAUCUAGCACCAUUAUUUGUGGAAUUUUCGUUGCAGAUGAUAUACUUUAUGGAGUUGGCUU